UACGUAGGGGGCAAGCGUUGUCCGGAUUUAUUGGGCGUAAAGAGCGUGUAGGCGGUUUGGUAGGUCCGCUGUGAAAACUCGAGGCUCAACCUCGAGACGCCGGUGGAAACCAUCAGACUAGAGUCCGGAAGAGGAGAGUGGAAUUCCUGGUGUAGCGGUGAAAUGCGCAGAUAUCAGGAGGAACACCGGUGGCGAAGGCGGAUCUCUGGGCCGUAACUGACGCUGAGGAGCGAAAGCAUGGGGAGCGAACAGG
rnacentral:rRNA from 1 species